UUCAACACCUUUCCCUUCAGGUUCUUUGACAUCACUCCUCUGGGGCUGAUCAUCAACAGAUUCUCCGCCGACACCAACAUCAUAGAUCAGCACAUUCCUCCCACCCUGGAGUCUUUAACGAGAUCCACGCUGCUCUUACUGUCGGCCAUCGGCGUGAUUUCCUCCAUCACUCCAGCCUUCCUCAUCGCUCUCUUUCCUUUGGCCAUCGCCUUCUACUUCAUCCAGAAGUACUUCAGGGUGGCCUCCAAAGACCUCCAGGACCUCGAUGACUCCACUCAGCUCCCUCUGCUCUGCCACUUCUCUGAGACCGCUGAGGGUCUGACUACCAUUAGAGCAUUC